GACCGCAUGGCCUAAUGGAUAUGGCGUCCGACUGCGAAUCAGAAGAUUGAGGGUUCGAGUCCCUA
rnacentral:tRNA from 1 species